GAUGAAGAACGUAGCGAAAUGCGAUAAGUAAUGUGAAUUGCAGAAUUCAGUGAAUCAUCGAAUCUUUGAACGCACCUUGCGCUCCUUGGUAUUCCGAGGAGCAUGCCUGUUUGAGUGUCGUGAAAUUCUCAACCUUUUCAGCUUUCUUUGUUGAUCAGGCUUGGAUGUGGGAGUAUGCGGGCUUCUCAGAAGUCGGCUCUCCUGAAAUGCAUUAGCGGGACCUUUGUUGCCUGGCUUUGGUGUGAUAAUUAUCUACGCCAUUGUAGUCAAGCAGCUUAAAAUGAGGUUUCAGCUUCUAACCGUCUCCCCUGAGACAACUUUUUGACAAUUUGACCUCAAAUCAGGUAGGACUACCCGCUGAACUUAAGCAUAUCAAUAAGCGGAGGA
rnacentral:misc_RNA from 1 species